GGUCUGCUGGGUUGGAUAGGGCAGGAGGAACAAGGUCUGCUAGCUAGGGUAUGGUAAUGGAUGAAGAGGUCUGCUAGCUAGGGUAUGGUAAUGGAUGAAGAGAUCUGCUAGUUGGGGUAUGGUA